rnacentral:rRNA from 1 species
UACGUAGGGGGCAAGCGUUGUCCGGAAUCAUUGGGCGUAAAGCGCGUGUAGGCGGUUCAGUAAGUCUGCUGUGAAAGUCCAAGGCUCAACCUUGGGAUGCCGGUGGAUACUGCUGGGCUAGAGUACGGAAGAGGCGAGUGGAAUUCCCGGUGUAGCGGUGAAAUGCGCAGAUAUCGGGAGGAACACCGGUGGCGAAGGCGGCUUUCUGGACGGUAACUGACGCUGAGACGCGAAAGCGUGGGGAGCAAACAGG